ACUACGGGCGGCAGCAGUGGGGGAUAUUGCACAAUGGAGGAAACUCUGAUGCAGCGACGCCGCGUGAGGGAAGACGGUCUUCGGAUUGUAAACCCCUGUCAUGUGGGAGCAAAUUAAAAAGAUAGUACCACAAGAGGAAGAGACGGCUAACUCUGUGCCAGCAGCCGCGGUAAUACAGAGGUCUCAAGCGUUGUUCGGAAUCACUGGGCGUAAAGCGUGCGUAGGCUGUUUCGUAAGUCGUGUGUGAAAGGCGCGGGCUCAACCCGCGGACGGCACAUGAUACUGCGAGACUAGAGUAAUGGAGGGGGAACCGGAAUUCUCGGUGUAGCAGUGAAAUGCGUAGAUAUCGAGAGGAACACUCGUGGCGAAGGCGGGUUCCUGGACAUUAACUGACGCUGAGGCACGAAGGCCAGGGGAGCGAAAGGGAUUAGAUACCCGAGUAGUC
rnacentral:rRNA from 1 species